rnacentral:antisense_RNA from 1 species
GGCAGUCGUCGGUAACGUGGCCACAGCCCGACAGCGUGACGGACGCCAGGUUGGGGCACCUGUGAGGAGAGUGCGGUGACCCGGGGCUCACUGGCCUGUUAAAGCUACCCAACCGCCCCAUGGGACCGAGUGGACUCAUUUACCGAGGAGGACUCGGGCCCUGCGAGGUCACUUCAUCCUGGCCCAGGUACUGCAGCUCCAAAUCGUGGGGAUUCUGUAAGAGCUUGCUACCUGUUGACUGAGGAGGCCCACGAGUCGAGAAGAACUAGCAAGAGUGGUACAAAACUGCAGGUCAUUGGGCUGGCCACCAGGUAUUCCCACCCACCAGAAGCUGGCUGUUGUACUCACCCGGAACCAUGGUGCACCACCACAGCGGCGAGGUCAUACAGGCAGCUCUCCGGGCCACUGUUCUCAGGCUACAGAACAAGGAAGAAGGAGCAGUGGUCAAUGACAUCAGUAUCUCGAUGACCUCUACCCUCUCCAUGUGAUGACAAUCUUACUGAAGAGCCAUUUUUUCACCAUGCUAAAAAGGUAACCACCUUACCUCUAGUAAGUAGCAUUUCAUGUCUAGGCCUCUCAGUGGAAAUUCUACGUAUGUAUCAACUUUAUUUCUUAAAUAUGCUGUCCAAUGAAAUCUUUUCAAAUGUAAGCAUAGCACCUGGAGGAUAGAGAUGAGGUCAAAGAUUGUGAACACCUAAUUUACCUUUCAGUCAAAGUUUGAUACUACUAUCAGUUCAGUAAAUAACAUUUUAGCUGCCCUAUCAAUCAUUCUUCCAUGCAUACCUUAUGCAUUCAUUCUGUAAGGGGUUUAGCUUUUACUGAAAAUCCUAGAGACAAAUACAGAACAGUUCACAUAGUGUAAAGUUAUAGACAUGGUCUUAGCAGUCAAGCAUUUUCCCAUUGAAAUUGCUUCAUAACUCAAAAUUCAACACUCACCUUGGGUAGUUUUUGAAUCCAAAACUUUUUUGUGGACUUUUGUUUCUUUUUGCAUUUAUGGCACAUAUAUAACUCUGUCUCAUCAAGUUCUUCUAAGUCGGUAAAACUGCGAAGACAAUCUAAACAAAUUGAUUUUGGCAGCAUUAAAACAAGAUGCCUUUUGUAGAGGCAAUGUACUGUAGAAAAAAGACCCAGGUUUAAAAUCUCAGCUUUAUUAGCUAUACGACCUUAGAAAAGUUAACCUUUCUCAAUUGCAAACUGGAGACAAAAAAAUAAUACCUACUUUGAAGAACUAUUGUAAGGAAGAGAAAUAACGUGUAGAGCACCUGGCAUCAUGCCUGACAUCUGGUGAUGAUCAAUUAUGUUGGUUUUACUAUUAAUGAUAAUUCAUCUGGAUAAUUCUGAUAAAAUGGUUUCCUGAUGAAUUUAAAGUUUCAAUUGUAGUUUUCUGUCAAUAUGUUACAUUAUACAGGACAAAGCUCCAAACUCAUAAAAAAAA